AUUGAACGCUGGCGGCAGGCCUAACACAUGCAAGUCGAGCGGAUGACGGGAGCUUGCUCCUUGAUUCAGCGGCGGACGGGUGAGUAAUGCCUAGGAAUCUGCCUGGUAGUGGGGGACAACGUUUCGAAAGGAACGCUAAUACCGCAUACGUCCUACGGGAGAAAGCAGGGGACCUUCGGGCCUUGCGCUAUCAGAUGAGCCUAGGUCGGAUUAGCUAGUUGGUGGGGUAAUGGCUAACCAAGGCGACGAUCCGUAACUGGUCUGAGAGGAUGAUCAGUCACACUGGAACUGAGACACGGUCCAGACUCCUACGGGAGGCAGCAGUGGGGAAUAUUGGACAAUGGGCGAAAGCCUGAUCCAGCCAUGCCGCGUGUGUGAAGAAGGUCUUCGGAUUGUAAAGCACUUUAAGUUGGGAGGAAGGGCAGUAAGCUAAUACCUUGCUGUUUUGACGUUACCGACAGAAUAAGCACCGGCUAACUCUGUGCCAGCAGCCGAGUAACAC
rnacentral:rRNA from 1 species